rnacentral:rRNA from 1 species
UACGUAGGGUGCGAGCGUUAAUCGGAAUUACUGGGCGUAAAGCGUGCGCAGGCGGUUCGUUGUGGCUGUGGUGAAAGCCCCGGGCUUAACCUGGGAAUGGCCAUGGAAACUGGCGAGCUGGAGUGUGGCAGAGGGGGGUGGAAUUCCGCGUGUAGCAGUGAAAUGCGUAGAGAUGUGGAGGAACACCGAUGGCGAAGGCAGCCCCCUGGGCUAACACUGACGCUCAUGCACGAAAGCGUGGGGAGCAAACAGG